UACGAAGGGGGCUAGCGUUGCUCGGAAUCACUGGGCGUAAAGGGUGCGUAGGCGGGUCUUUAAGUCAGGGAUGAAUCCUGGAGCUCAACUCCAGAACUGUCCUUGAUACUGGCGAUCUCGAGUCCGGAGAGGUGAGUGGAACUGCGAGUGUAGAGGUGAAAUUCGUAGAUAUUCGCAAGAACACCAGUGGCGAAGGCGGCUCACUGGCCCGGUACUGACGCUGAGGUGCGAAAGCGUGGGAGCAAACAGG
rnacentral:rRNA from 1 species